AUUACAAUCAACCACAUCGUUCUCUGUGAUACACUCGAAGAAGAAAGGUGGACAUGGAGACGCCCUGGACGGGAAUAGGCGUUCUUCUUUUAAUUGAAGUUUGUUUUAGUUUACGGGUGUUUACUUCUACCAGGUUGGACGGAGCUUUUCCAUUGGCAAGAAAGGGACUGACCGUUACAAAUAUCACACAAUUAAGAUUUAAACUAAAAGCCUGUGGUCCUGGUCAUUUAAUCCUCCAGAAAGACGACGUGGUGGAUUUCAAUACUUACGGGAGUUGGACAUUUGUGGUAGGAUCAGACGAAAACGCAAGGGCUGAAAUUAGACCAGCACUUUUUGGUGCAAACUAUGGCAGUCACUAUGAAGUUCUCUUGGACUGUAAUGAGUUUCGGCCAUUUUGGAUCCGUUGGAAAGAAGGAUUGUUAGAGCUAGGAAAAGGCAACGAAUUUGGUACUGACAGGAUAUCUUUUCAUACAAUCUCUCCUGUUGGAUUCAACUAUGCUUUCUUAUUAACUGGAUGGGAAGAAAUUGGCUGCUGGGAUAUAGACACUGGGUUGGCGACGUUGGCUUCUGAAUGGAAGAAGUUGUCAGGAAACAAGACAAUCCAAGGUUCGUGGGUGUUGAGUUACCAUAAUAGAAGCCUGAUAGAAUGUAAUCUUAAAUGUGCAACACCUAAUGAAGAUUUACCAUGUGGAUGUGUGGAGUAUAGUUAUAAUAAGUUAACUAAACAAUGUUUAGUUGUUGAUGAGAGUGAUGACGUCACCAUGGUGGAUGAAGCAGGCUGGAAAACAUGGAACCUAGUGUAAAUAAAUCUUAUGUGACGUGGUUUCCCUAUUUAAGUCAAGAACUUGCUAUCCGUCCCUAUUUAAAAUUCCAGAAGCCAAUACCGGUGCAAUAUUAAGAUCUACCAUGUCCUGUGUAGAAUAGUAAUUAAAGUGGGAUUCCGUCGAAGUUCAUAGUUUUUCUAGUUAAAUGUCAGUCUAUCUAAUUACUCUAAUCUCUACAAGUGUUUAUCUAUGUAAAUAGUAUGGUUCGAGAAAGUAAGACUAAAAUGUUUGCAAAUCAUGACACUGUGGAUCUGACAUAUUUUGAAAUAAUUUAUCUUUCCCGUUGGAUUGAAUUAUUCUGUAUUUAGUAUACUUUGAAUACCUCGAGAUAUCCCUCUCGAACUCAAUUAAAAUAAUAUCGAUGAGAUUGUGAAUCGCCAGUGAAUCUGGAUUGAAAUGAAGCUUCACACUACGCCUGUUCCGUCGCUGAUAUCAUGCUACUAUCGACCACUAAUCAUAACUGAAACACGCUAACGCCCGCCAAAGAUAUUACAUUGAUAAAUGAAAUUGAUUAAUAUUUGAACUCAAUCAAAUAAAGUUACACACUUUCGUAUAUUUCGUUGCUGUAAGGUAUGAAAUCUCUGGUUCAGAUUUUAAAAACACUGGUCUUGUGUAAAUAUGUUUGCUUUGUUACUUUAUUGUUUAUUAAUAUCUAAUAUGCAUGUACAUCUAUUCACCUAGUUUCAUUGACAACCUGUGAUAUUAAUCCUUAUAAGACAUUACAGCCUUUCAUCUUGUUAAUCCUUUGUAAUUGUUUAUCCAUAUUAUUACUUCUCUCAUCUUGUUAAUUCUUAAUUAAUGAUUAAUCUGUUACAUGGUGUCCAAUUGUUAUCUAUAUAUUGCACCACAUUUUUGUAAAAUAUCAUUAUU